rnacentral:rRNA from 1 species
GGAUUAGAUACCCUGGUAGUCCACACGGUAAACGAUGAAUACUCGCUGUUUGCGAUAUACAGCAAGCGGCCAAGCGAAAGCGUUAAGUAUUCCACCUGGGGAGUACGCCGGCAACGGUGAAACUCAAAGGAAUUGACGGGGGCCCGCACAAGCGGAGGAACAUGUGGUUUAAUUCGAUGAUACGCGAGGAACCUUACCCGGGCUUAAAUUGCAGAUGAAUUACGGUGAAAGCCGUAAGCCGCAAGGCAUCUGUGAAGGUGCUGCAUGGUUGUCGUCAGCUCGUGCCG